UCUUUUUACUCAUUUUCUUUUUUCUUUCAAGAUCUCUCCCUCUCCCCUACAUCUCAACCCGUCGGCGUCACUCUCUCAAGGCCAAAAAUGGCCGGCCACCGGUGGUCACCCUACUCCGAUGACCCUCAAAAACCUCCUUUUCUUCUACCCUAACCAUGAUCGUGCCCAAAGACCCCGAAAGGAACCCAAAACCUUUUUUAUUUUCCUAUGAUCGAAACCAAACAAAAAAAAACCUCCACCACCACUCCACGGCAGCUCUCCCUCUUCGGCCACCACCACCGGCGGCUGACUGACACCAAACUCAACCUAAAAGACCUAAAACUUCCACCUUUUUAUUUCCUAAAACAAAUCUACCAAAAACCGAAACAAGACCCCUAAAGGUUCACAUUUUUUUUCGACGAUGGCUCCUAUUCUAGCGAGGAAAACCCAUCGCUAAGAGAGAGGAAAGAGCUUUUCGGAGGAAACCACGCCUGAUCGGAGCAGUCGAGUAUGCAUGCAAGAGAAUCACGAGUGACCGGCACAAAUCUCGUCGGGCGACGACGAGCAUGGAAGCUCCACGUUUGGUGGCAGCGGCUGGUUGGGUUUAGGAGGAAACCCUAACUUGUUUGGGUCCUCCCACAUGGGCCCGUAUUGUUUUGGGCUCCCGGGUUUGAUUUGAACUUGGGUUGUGUGACUUCAUGAUUUAAACCAAAACAUGCAAGGUCGAUUAUCAUUUAG